GCCUUCGUGAUGUAGUGAUCAGCAUGCUCGACGCGUAACCGAGAGGUCCGUGGUUCGAUUCCCGGCGAAGGCG
rfam:Stegodyphus mimosarum contig39114, whole genome shotgun sequence.